rnacentral:tmRNA from 1 species
GGGGGCGACCUGGUUUCGACGGGGAUUCACGAGGCGAGAGCCGCAAGUCGGGGAAUCCGAUUCAGCCCCGUUAUCAAGUAUCGGACACAAUUUUAACUGCGAACGAUAACUUCGCUCUGGCGGCUUAAAUAGCCCCAUGCCCGCCCGCUUUGCGUCUCAGGGAGCGGGGUCGGGUAUCAAACACUGAGACUGGUUCUGUUGCGGGCCUGACGCAUCAGCACGAGAAUUUCCAGGCUGGUUUUCCGAAGGUGCGUUUGGCCCCCUCGCGGAAAAUGAGACUCAAUGCCGGACUACACUUGUAGACGCUUUCGUUGAGGUUUUUUCGGACGCGGGUUCGAUUCCCGCCGCCUCCACCU